UAUAUACCGUCCGUGCCAUGGCUGACGCGGAGGUGUGCUACCGACUCGGCUGCGUGGACGCGGGCACGAAGAAAGGAGCGCCGACUGACCAACGAUACUUUGACUGCGCAUGUGUGCCACUCAAGUGCAACAGUUCACGAGGUAUCCCAGGCCCCGAAAGAAGUUGGAAGAAGAUGCAAGCGCAGCAUGCCAAUGUUGUUGAAUAUGCCAGCACGAAGUUUCCAGGCGCAAGUGUUUCUUAUAUAAAAGAAAGCCUAUUCUCUCCCCUCACAAGGGAAAUAAAAUCACUAUAUAAAAAUGCCUUUUCAUGUGCCUUUUUUUGUUUUCCUGUUGGCUGCAGUUAAUAUUCAGCCUCAGUGAGCCAAAUCUUGCUACUUUAGACCUUAGUGAGAUAUAUCCCAGUACAAUGAAAAUACAAUGAAAAUUCAUCUCGAUCUAAAUCC